UGGUGGCGACCGGCGCACGGGUGAGUAACGCGUAUGCAACCUCACCUAUCAGAGGGGAAUAACCCGGCGAAAGUCGGACUAAUACCGCAUAAAACAGGGGCACCGCACGGUGAUAUUUGUUAAAGAAAUUCGCUGAUAGAUGGGCAUGCGUUCCAUUAGGUAGUUGGUGAGGUAACGGCUCACCAAGCCGACGAUGGAUAGGGGAACUGAGAGGUUGGUCCCCCACACUGGUACUGAGACACGGACCAGACUCCUACGGGAGGCAGCAGUGAGGAAUAUUGGUCAAUGGGCGAGAGCCUGAACCAGCCAAGUCGCGUGAAGGAAGAAGGAUCUAUGGUUCGUAAACUUCUUUUGCAGGGGAAUAAAGUGCAGGACGUGUCCUGUUUUGUAUGUACCCUGAGAAUAAGGAUCGGCUAACUCCGUGCCAGCAGCCGCGGUAAUACGGAGGAUCCGAGCGUUAUCCGGAUUUAUUGGGUUUAAAGGGUGCGUAGGUGGUUUGAUAAGUCAGCGGUGAAAGUUUGCAGCUUAACUGUAAAAAUGCCGUUGAAACUGUCGGACUUGAGUGUAAAUGAGGUAGGCGGAAUGCGUGGUGUAGCGGUGAAAUGCUUAGAUAUCACGAAGAACUCCGAUUG
rnacentral:rRNA from 1 species